UGAUAGUAUCAGAAGAGGAAGGGACGGCUAACUCUGUGCCAGCAGCCGCGGUAAUACAGAGGUCCCAAGCGUUGUUCGGAUUCAUUGGGCGUAAAGGGUGCGUAGGUGGCGUGGUAAGUCGGGUGUGAAAUUUCGGAGCUUAACUCCGAAACUGCAUUAGAUACUGCCGUGCUUGAGGACUGGAGAGGAGACUGGAAUUUACGGUGUAGCAGUGAAAUGCGUAGAGAUCGUAAGGAAGACCAGUGGCGAAGGCGGGUCUCUGGACAGUUCCUGACACUGAGGCGCGAAGGCCAGGGGAGCAAACGGGAUUAGAUACCCCGGUAGUCCUGGCAGUAAACGGUGCACGUUUGGUGUGGGAGGAUUCGACCCCUUCCGCGCCGGAGCUAACGCGUUAAACGUGCCGCCUGGGGAGUACGGUCGCAAGAUUAAAACUCAAAGAAAUUGACGGGGGCCCGCACAAGCGGUGGAGUAUGUGGCUUAAUUCGAUGCAACGCGAGGAACCUUACCUGGCCUUGACAUGUAUCUCUAAGCACGUGAAAGCGUGUGAGUCUCGAAAGAGACAAUUUACACAGGUGCUGCAUGGCUGU
rnacentral:rRNA from 1 species